ACGUUUUUAUUUUAGGUAUUAAAUGGGUAAACCUAAUAGUUUUGGCGGUGUUUAUACUGUAUAGAGGAAUCUGCUCUUUAAAAGAUAAUACUCUAUUAAAGCUUAAUUUUUAGUUUGUCUACUGCUGUUGGUUGAUUAAUUUAUUAGAAUUUAAUCUGGAAUUUUGAAUGAUUUUAUUUCAGGUAAAAGUGCAGCAUUAUAAUUAAGAGUGAAGUGGAUUACAAUAAUUAAACCUUUAUUAUGAAUUAAUUAUUGAGAAAUAUUUAUGAAGGUGGAUUUGUUAGUAAUUUUUGGAAAGAUUACAAGAAUGAAGAUGUUCUUAAACAUGC
rnacentral:rRNA from 1 species